UACGGAGGGUGCGAGCGUUGUCCGGAAUCACUGGGCGUAAAGGGCGCGUAGGCGGCUUCUCAAGCGUGUGGUGAAAGUCCGGGGCUCAACCCCGGAUCGGCCGUGCGGACUGGGGAGCUCGAGUUCUGUAGAGGCGGGUGGAAUUCCGGGUGUAGCGGUGGAAUGCGUAGAGAUCCGGAAGAACACCGGUGGCGAAGGCGGCCCGCUGGGCAGAGACUGACGCUGAGGCGCGACAGCUAGGGGAGCAAACGGG
rnacentral:rRNA from 1 species